GACGAACGCUGUUUGCGUGCUUAACACAUGCAAGUCGAACGAAAAGGCCCUGCUUUUGUGGGGUGCUCGAGUGGCGAACGGGUGAGUAACACGUGAGUAACCUGCCCUUGACUUUGGGAUAACUUCAGGAAACUGGGGCUAAUACCGGAUAGGAGCUCCUGCUGCAUGGUGGGGGUUGGAAAGCUUCGGCGGUUGGGGAUGGACUCGCGGCUUAUCAGCUUGUUGGUGGGGUAGUGGCUUACCAAGGCUUUGACGGGUAGCCGGCCUGAGAGGGUGACCGGCCACAUUGGGACUGAGAUACGGCCCAGACUCCUACGGGAGGCAGCAGUGGGGAAUAUUGCACAAUGGGCGGAAGCCUGAUGCAGCAACGCCGCGCGCGGGAUGACGGCCUUCGGGUUGUAAACCGCUUUCGCCUGUGACGAAGCGUGAGUGACGGUAAUGGGUAAAGAAGCACCGGCUAACUACGUGCCAGCAGCCGCGGUGAUACGUAGGGUGCGAGCGUUGUCCGGAUUUAUUGGGCGUAAAGGGCUCGUAGGUGGUUGAUCGCGUCGGAAGUGUAAUCUUGGGGCUUAACCCUGAGCGUGCUUUCGAUACGGGUUGACUUGAGGAAGGUAGGGGAGAAUGGAAUUCCUGGUGGAGCGGUGGAAUGCGCAGAUAUCAGGAGGAACACCAGUGGCGAAGGCGGUUCUCUGGGCCUUUCCUGACGCUGAGGAGCGAAAGCGUGGGGAGCGAACAGGCUUAGAUACCCUGGUAGUCCACGCUGUAAACGGUGGGUACUAGGUGUGGGGUCCAUUCCACGGGUUCCGUGCCGUAGCUAACGCUUUAAGUACCCCGCCUGGGGAGUACGGCCGCAAGGCUAAAACUCAAAGGAAUUGACGGGGCCCCGCACAAGCGGCGGAGCAUGCGGAUUAAUUCGAUGCAACGCGUAGAACCUUACCUGGGUUUGACAUGGAUCGGGAGUGCUCAGAGAUGGGUGUGCCUCUUUUGGGGUCGGUUCACAGGUGGUGCAUGGCUGUCGUCAGCUCGUGUCGUGAGAUGUUGGGUUAAGUCCCGCAGCGAGCGCAACCCUUGUUCACUGUUGCCAGCACGUUAUGGUGGGGACUCAGUGGAGACCGCCGGGGUCAACUCGGAGGAAGGUGGGGAUGACGUCAAGUCAUCAUGCCCCUUAUGUCCAGGGCUUCACGCAUGCUACAAUGGCUGGUACAGAGAGUGGCGAGCCUGUGAGGGUGAGCGAAUCUCGGAAAGCCGGUCUCAGUUCGGAUUGGGGUCUGCAACUCGACCUCAUGAAGUCGGAGUCGCUAGUAAUCGCAGAUCAGCAACGCUGCGGUGAAUCCGUUCCCGGGGCU
rnacentral:rRNA from 1 species